AGAGAUUGAACUGAAGAGUUUGAUCCUGGCUCAGAUUGAACGCUGGCGGGAUGCUUUACACAUGCAAGUCGGACGGCAGCACGGGCUUCGGCCUGGUGGCGAGUGGCGAACGGGUGAGUAAUGUAUCGGAACGUGCCCAGUAGCGGGGGAUAACUACGCGAAAGCGUGGCUAAUACCGCAUACGCCCUACGGGGGAAAGCGGGGGACCUUCGGGCCUCGCACUAUUGGAGCGGCCGAUAUCGGAUUAGCUAGUUGGUGGGGUAACGGCCUACCAAGGCGACGAUCCGUAGCUGGUUUGAGAGGACGACCAGCCACACUGGGACUGAGACACGGCCCAGACUCCUACGGGAGGCAGCAGUGGGGAAUUUUGGACAAUGGGGGCAACCCUGAUCCAGCCAUCCCGCGUGUGCGAUGAAGGCCUUCGGGUUGUAAAGCACUUUUGGCAGGAAAGAAACGGCACGGGCUAAUAUCCUGUGCAACUGACGGUACCUGCAGAAUAAGCACCGGCUAACUACGUGCCAGCAGCCGCGGUAAUACGUAGGGUGCAAGCGUUAAUCGGAAUUACUGGGCGUAAAGCGUGCGCAGGCGGUUCGGAAAGAAAGAUGUGAAAUCCCAGGGCUUAACCUUGGAACUGCAUUUUUAACUACCGGGCUAGAGUGUGUCAGAGGGAGGUGGAAUUCCGCGUGUAGCAGUGAAAUGCGUAGAUAUGCGGAGGAACACCGAUGGCGAAGGCAGCCUCCUGGGAUAACACUGACGCUCAUGCACGAAAGCGUGGGAGCAAACAGGAUUAGAUACCCUGGUAGUCCACGCCCUAAACGAUGUCAACUAGCUGUUGGGGCCUUCGGGCCUUGGUAGCGCAGCUAACGCGUGAAGUUGACCGCCUGGGGAGUACGGUCGCAAGAUUAAAACUCAAAGGAAUUGACGGGGACCCGCACAAGCGGUGGAUGAUGUGGAUUAAUUCGAUGCAACGCGAAAAACCUUACCUACCCUUGACAUGUCUGGAAUCCCGAAGAGAUUUGGGAGUGCUCGCAAGAGAACCGGAACACAGGUGCUGCAUGGCUGUCGUCAGCUCGUGUCGUGAGAUGUUGGGUUAAGUCCCGCAACGAGCGCAACCCUUGUCAUUAGUUGCUACGAAAGGGCACUCUAAUGAGACUGCCGGUGACAAACCGGAGGAAGGUGGGGAUGACGUCAAGUCCUCAUGGCCCUUAUGGGUAGGGCUUCACACGUCAUACAAUGGUCGGGACAGAGGGUCGCCAACCCGCGAGGGGGAGCCAAUCCCAGAAACCCGAUCGUAGUCCGGAUCGCAGUCUGCAACUCGACUGCGUGAAGUCGGAAUCGCUAGUAAUCGCGGAUCAGCAUGUCGCGGUGAAUACGUUCCCGGGUCUUGUACACACCGCCCGUCACACCAUGGGAGUGGGUUUUACCAGAAGUAGUUAGCCUAACCGCAAGGGGGGCGAUUACCACGGUAGGAUUCAUGACUGGGGUGAAGUCGUAACAAGGUAGCCGUAUCGGAAGGUGCGGCUGGAUCACCUCCUUUAAGA
rnacentral:rRNA from 1 species